GGGGGCCCGCAAGCGGUGGAGCAUGUGGUUCAAUUCGACGCAACGCGAAGAACCUUACCUGGGCUCGAAAUGUAGUGGACCGGGGUGGAAACAUCCCUUUUCGCAAGAACUGCUAUAUAGGUGCUGCAUGGCUGUCGUCAGCUCGUGUCGUGAGAUGUUGGGUUAAGUCCCGCAACGAGCGCAACCCUUAUUGUCAGUUGCCAUCAUUCAGUUGGGCACUCUGGCGAAACCGCCUCGGAUAACGGGGAGGAAGGUGGGGAUGACGUCAAGUCCUCAUGGCCUUUAUGUCCAGGGCUACACACGUGCUACAAUGGUCGGUACAAACCGUCGCAAACCCGCGAGGGGGAGCUAAUCGGAAAAAGCCGACCUCAGUUCGGAUUGGAGUCUGCAACUCGACUCCAUGAAGCUGGAAUCGCUAGUAAUCGCGGAUCAGAACGCCGCGGUGAAUACGUUCCCGGGCCUUGUACACACC
rnacentral:rRNA from 1 species